GCCCAGGUGGUGGAACGGUAUACACGCACCACUUAAAAUGGUGUACCGAAAGGUUUGUGGGUUCGAAUCCCACCCUGGGCA
rnacentral:tRNA from 1 species